ACUAAAGUCAUAACGAACUGGGUGCAAAGGUCUAGUUGGCUGCAGUCGGUGACUAUAAGGUGUGCAACACCCCAGGCACAGUGCAGGAGGGUGCUCCUCUGGUCACUGCAGGAUGGUCGGCUUCUGUGAGCUGCUUGUGCAAGAACAAGGAAACUACAGUGUAGAAACAGGAACGGUCAACAUUGGGUUGCUUCAGGUCACCUUCAUGUACAAACCGGAGCAAAAGGCAUUUCCUUAUGCUGGCCCAGACUGACUGAGUCUCUGACAAUUGACUGAGGCACCUUCUGUUGAGCAUCUCCUGUGACUCGUCACUCGGUUUUGAAGUUUCUCAUCCUGUUUUGACUUCUGAUGGUCUACUUUUCAGUACAACAGAUGUCACGAGUUCCAGCCCUUCAUGGCCCUUUGAUUCUGGGUGUGUGGAGAAGCGGAAUAAAACUCAGAGGAGGAGGAGGCUGCUCAUCAUAUGGCUGGCAGGAAGCAGAGAGCAGCAGAGAGGGUCUGGGAAGUGUCUAGACCUUAGGUCUAAUUACGCUGCAUGUGAGAACACCCGAGCUGAGGGCGUUCCAUCAAGCCCUGUCAUCCUUGACAAGCUGCAUCCUUUAAAGGGCCUGGAUUCGUCUUCUAUCAUUUCACGUGUGUGCCUGGAUCUGCCCGGGUCCCGGGUGCGGGGGGGGGGGGGUUCCCGUUUUGAUAUCUGGCAAGAUCUGGGCUUACUCUCAAGUCUCACUGAAAACUCACUGUUAACAUAAAAAUUCAUUUGUUAAUUAAUUGGAAUUCUAUCUCUGAUGAGCUAAUGGCACUCUCUUAUUAAUUGUCAUAUGCUAAGUGGUCUGAAACAGCACCCCCCCCCCCCCCCCCGAGUGUGGUUAAUACAAAAGCCACUUUGGGUACUAAUGUAAGUAAAGGCUUAAUCCUUUUCGUGAAUUACAAGUUCACGUGAGGAACACUUUUUUCAUCUCUAUCUAAAAGCCAAGAAAUCACUAGAACUUGCCCAAGCCUAAUUUGAUUAUUUCUAAUUUGGUUAAUUAAUUAACCAUUAAUUCUAUUUGGCUGAUAAGGAAACAGAUUUGAUUAUUUCUAACAUGAUUAAUUAAUUAACCAUUAAUUCUAUUUUGCUGAUAAGGAAACUGAGGCACAAAGAGGUAUGAUAAAAUGCUCAAAAUUAUAUAACCAGUAAAGCUAGAAUUUGAACUACAGAGAACUUGCUGAUAGACACUAGACUUAUAAAUACUGUACCCAACUGUACCUCCCUGUCGGCGUCGGCCCAUCUUAGCAAGGCCAAGAGGCCUUCUGUGACCAAGCCGCACACCCCUCAGAGGAAUCAAUCUUUUUUUUUAAUUUUUUUUAUUUUAAUUUUAAAUACCAAAUGUCAUUUAUUGAAGGAGGUAGGAGGUCUUAAAUACAGGCUUACAGCACAAUGGGAGGACCCAGAGGGCAGAAGUUCGCUACUGAUGUUUUACAGUUUUGCAUCUGAGCUGUUAACGGCCAUUAUUCAGGAUACACAGACAAGGAACUUCCCUUAAGCAUCCAGGAGGGUGGAACCCGGCAGGGAAUUAGCAUAGGGAGGAUAUCAAGGUCAAGGUCCGCAAGCAAGGCA